GUUUCUCCCCACCAUUUUAUGGGAUCACUGGAUUGCGGGGAUGAGUAAGAAGGAAGGAGGAAAAUGUUUACUGAUCUCCAGGGAAUUCUUGAAGAGAACUUUUCAGUGGAAAGCAAAGGAAGUGUAGAAAUGGGUAUGGGAGAGGAGUAAAACAGACUACUUCUUUGCAAUUAGUUAUUAAGAGAAACAAUGAAGAGGCAAGGAAGAGGAGAGAAGAAUACAGAGAGUAGCAACCUCUCCAGCAAGGAAUAAAACUGAUCCAAAAGGAAAGACGUGAGCAACCCUAACUGGGCAAUUUGGGAUACCUGACCGCAGUAUAUCCACUUCUUAAUGGAGGUUGUUACAGAACAGUGAGAUUUUCUCC